rnacentral:tRNA from 1 species
GGGCAGAUACCGAAGCGGUUAAACGGGGCAGACUGUAAAUCUGCUAGGGUAAUCCUUACGGAGGUUCGAAUCCUUCUCUGCCCA